CAUACCUAUACGUUGCCUCGGCGGAUCAGCCCGCGCCCCGUAAAAAGGGACGGCCCGCCCGAGGACCCCUAAACUCUGUUUUUAGUGGAACUUCUGAGUAAAACAAACAAAUAAAUCAAAACUUUCAACAACGGAUCUCUUGGUUCUGGCAUCGAUGAAGAACGCAGCAAAAUGCGAUAAGUAAUGUGAAUUGCAGAAUUCAGUGAAUCAUCGAAUCUUUGAACGCACAUUGCGCCCGCCAGUAUUCUGGCGGGCAUGCCUGUUCGAGCGUCAUUUCAACCCUCAAGCUCAGCUUGGUGUUGGGACUCGCGGUAACCCGCGUUCCCCAAAUCGAUUGGCGGUCACGUCGAGCUUCCAUAGCGUAGUAAUCAUACACCUCGUUACUGGUAAUCGUCGCGGCCACGCCGUAAAACCCCAACUUCUGAAUGUUGACCUCGGAUCAGGUAGGAAUACCCGCUGAACUUAAGCAUAUCAA
rnacentral:rRNA from 1 species